rnacentral:sRNA from 2 species
CAUCCCCAAUCACGCGAUUAUAUCUAUCUCAAGAUGGUUGAAAGAUCUUAAGAAGUCGACAAACGUGUAGAAGCAGCUACAGAAUUCGAUGAAAGAUGCCCUGGCCUCAGCCGUGCUGCCCUUGCUCGUCAAUUGAAUGUCACCCGCCAGAUGGGCAAGAAGAUAGCUUUAGACGAGAAAUUCUGAUUUGACAAAUAACUACGGAGGGCGCUAUCAAAAGAAUUGCGCCGGCAAAAAGACAACUAGACAGCACC